UAACCAGAGCCCCAUGGUGGCUGUGUGGGGGAUGCGCAUGACAAAUGCCUUCACACUCAGAGCACCACAGAGCAGUCUUCCUCCUGCCUCUCACUGUCCAGGUCAUCUCGCAUACUCUGCAAGGCUUUACAUCACUGAAGACUUUUUUUUUUUUUGGCUUUAGCUGCUCUAUUGGCUAGAACAACUCUUCUUCCCCAAUUUCUUCUGUUAUCUAUUUUGGCAAUUCAUUGUUCAGGUUAAGAAGUGUGGAGUCACUGUGGAGUCCCCAACCCUGCAUCCAAUCUGGUAGCAAGUUCUGUUCUUCGCAUCACCCUAGUCCAGGCCAUGGCCUCUCUCACAGCGACUGCCCCGGGCAGAACGCCUACACUCAACAGGGGAGGGCUGCGGGAAGUGCCAGGAGGCACAAGCGAAGGAGGAAAGGUGGGGCCGGGGCUCCUGGCCAGAUGGUGGUCUUGGGGAGGGUGGCACUGCAUUCUACCCGCCGUCAAGCCGGCAAGGCCACGACUCAUCCGUGCGAUGCUUCGUCAUCUUAGUUCCUCCCUGCACUAGCAAGCGCUCAGCCUCUUUCUCUGAAAUUGGUUUCCGCCUUCCCCAGGGAGCUGUCACAGGAUAUGUUACUAUCUGCCUGGGGAUAAAAACCCCAUCAAGGCACGACAGCAACCGCAGGUGUGAGGAAAUUCAAUCUCUAAUGGCAAAGGC
rnacentral:lncRNA from 1 species